rnacentral:rRNA from 1 species
GAUGAACGCUGGCGGUAUGCUUAACACAUGCAAGUCGAACGGGAUGCUUAGGCAUCUAGUGGCGGACGGGUGAGUAACGCGUGAGAAUCUGGCUCCAGGUCGGGGACAACAGUUGGAAACGACUGCUAAUACCGGAUGUGCCGAGAGGUGAAAGAUUUAUCGCCUGGAGAUGAGCUCGCGUCUGAUUAGCUAGUUGGUGGUGUAAGGGACUACCAAGGCGUCGAUCAGUAGCUGGUCUGAGAGGAUGAUCAGCCACACUGGGACUGAGACACGGCCCAGACUCCUACGGGAGGCAGCAGUGGGGAAUUUUCCGCAAUGGGCGAAAGCCUGACGGAGCAAUACCGCGUGAGGGAGGAAGGCUCUUGGGUCGUAAACCUCUUUUCUCAAGGAAGAAGAAAGUGACGGUACUUGAGGAAUAAGCAUCGGCUAACUCCGUGCCAGCAGCCGCGGUAAUACGGAGGAUGCAAGCGUUAUCCGGAAUGAUUGGGCGUAAAGGGUCUGCAGGUGGAACUGAAAGUCUGCUGUUAAAGAGUUUGGCUUAACCAAAUAAAAGCGGUGGAAACUACAGAACUAGAGUGCGGUAGGGGCAAAAGGAAUUCCUGGUGUAGCGGUGAAAUGCGUAGAUAUCAGGAAGAACACCGGUGGCGAAAGCGUUUUGCUAGACCGUAACUGACACUGAGGGACGAAAGCUAGGGGAGCGAAUGGGAUUAGAUACCCCAGUAGUCCUAGCCGUAAACGAUGGAUACUAGGCGUGGCUUGUAUCGACCCGAGCCGUGCCGGAGCUAACGCGUUAAGUAUCCCGCCUGGGGAGUACGCACGCAAGUGUGAAACUCAAAGGAAUUGACGGGGGCCCGCACAAGCGGUGGAGUAUGUGGUUUAAUUCGAUGCAACGCGAAGAACCUUACCAAGACUUGACAUCCUGCGAAUCCCAGUGAAAGCUGGGAGUGCCUUAGGGAGCGCAGAGACAGGUGGUGCAUGGCUGUCGUCAGCUCGUGUCGUGAGAUGUUGGGUUAAGUCCCGCAACGAGCGCAACCCUCGUUUUUAGUUGCCAGCAUUAAGUUGGGCACUCUAGAGAGACUGCCGGUGACAAACCGGAGGAAGGUGAGGAUGACGUCAAGUCAGCAUGCCCCUUACGUCUUGGGCUACACACGUACUACAAUGCUACGGACAGAGGGCAGCGAGCCAGGGAUGGCAAGCGAAUCCAGAAACCGUAGCUCAGUUCAGAUCGAAGGCUGCAACUCGCCUUCGUGAAGGAGGAAUCGCUAGUAAUUGCAGGUCAGCAUACUGCAGUGAAUUCGUUCCCGGGCCUUGUACACACCGCCCGUCACACCAUGGAAGUUGGUCACGCCCGAAGUCAUUACCCCAACCGAAAGGAGGGGGAUGCCUAAGGUAGGACUGGUGACUGGGGUGAAGUCGUAACAAGGUAGCCGUACCGGAAGGUGUGGCUGGAUCACCUCCU